CUUUAUUGGUCUCUUUUGACAAUAAAUUGAAUACAACUGUUAAGAUAAUGUGUUUAUAGAGAAUUAGACUAUAGUCACUUUUGAGCUGCUUUGGAUUUUGUUUUUGUCUUGUUUGCCAAAUUUUGCUUCAUAAUCAGGUGAUGUUAUUUUGAUGUCUUUUCUUUUUGGUGGGCAGAAAGAGAUAGACAAAAUGAAGUCCCUGAUAAUCACUGAAAUGACCACCUUAGAUAUUCUCAAGGGUUAUAGGGACGCAGAGGCAGCUGAAUUUCAUCGUGAACAAACAGACUGCGAGAGGGUGAAAGGUGAGCUGCAGAAAAAGUAUGAAGACGCUAUGUCUACAAUUACUCAGCUGGAGACUGAGGUGGAGCAACUGAGACAGACAUAUGCAGAAAAAUCUGAGGUAAAUCUCACAGGCAUAGAAUAAAUAUAGCUGGUUUACUGUAAAAAUCAUCGUUCAAGUAUUGGAUAAUUUCAAGUUAACUCAGAAAGCACAUAUUUACCCUUAAUCAGAAAAGCAGCUCCCCAUGAGAUGAUACUGAAUGAAACUGAAUAUUCCAAUGAAAACAUUUUAUUCAUAUUUGCAUUUGAUUAGAUCUAACAUGUUAGGCUAUAUUAUUAUUAAAAGGGGUGGUUGAUUGUGAUUUCACUUUUUUAAUGUUAGUUAGUGUGUAAUGUUGCUGUUUGAGCAUAAACAAUAUCUGCAAAGUUACGAAGCUGAAAGUUCAAUCAAAUGGAGAUAUCGUCUUUUAAAAUGCUGUCAGUUUAAUGCCUACAAAAAUGGCUCGUAGGGACUACAACGAGUUAUUUCCCGGGUUCGUGACAUCACAAACCCAGAUAAACACCGCCCCCGGGAAAAGGCAGCAAAGGGGGCGAGGCCAUGCUGCCUUGUUUUAGAGAAGAGGAAGAGAAAACUAGAGGUGCACAUAAAAAUCUAUUCAUAUAUGAAUCGCGAUUCUGUCUUCUAACGAUUCUAAUGGAUUCACAAGUUUCAAAAUCAAUGUUCUAAAGCAGCGGUUCUUAAUACUGUUCCUUGCGUC
rnacentral:lncRNA from 1 species